rnacentral:rRNA from 1 species
GGGAGGCAGCAGUGAGGAAUAUUGGUCAAUGGGCGAGAGCCUGAACCAGCCAAGUCGCGUGAAGGAAGAAGGAUCUAUGGUUCGUAAACUUCUUUUGCAGGGGAAUAAAAUGCAGGACGUGUCCUGUUUUGUAUGUACCCUGAGAAUAAGGAUCGGCUAACUCCGUGCCAGCAGCCGCGGUAAUACGGAGGAUCCGAGCGUUAUCCGGAUUUAUUGGGUUUAAAGGGUGCGUAGGUGGUUUGAUAAGUCAGCGGUGAAAGUUUGCAGCUUAACUGUAAAAAUGCCGUUGAAACUGUCGGACUUGAGUGUAAAUGAGGUAGGCGGAAUGCGUGGUGUAGCGGUGAAAUGCAUAGAUAUCACGCAGAACUCCGAUUGCGAAGGCAGCUUACUAAGCUACAACUGACACUGAAGCACGAAAGC